rnacentral:rRNA from 1 species
UUAACACAUGCAAGUCGAACGGAAUCCAUGGUGUAGCAAUACACCGGAAGAUUUAGUGGCGAACGGGUGAGGAUCACGUGAGAAACGUGCCCCAGACUCUGGGAUAACAAUUGGAAACGAUUGCUAAUACCGGAUGACGUCGGAGAAUCGCAUGAUUCACUGACGAAAGAUAUUUCGGUUUGGGAGCGUCUCGCGGCCUAUCAGCUUGUUGGUGGGGUAAUGGCCUACCAAGGCAACGACGGGUAGCUGGUCUGAGAGGAUGAUCAGCCACACUGGGACUGAGACACGGCCCAGACUCCUACGGGAGGCAGCAGUGGGGAAUCUUGCGCAAUGGGCGAAAGCCUGACGCAGCAACGCCGCGUGCGGGAUGAAGGCCUUCGGGCUGUAAACCGCUUUCAGCAGGAACGAAAAUGACGGUACCUGCAGAAGAAGGAGCGGCCAACUACGUGCCAGCAGCCGCGGUGACACGUAGGCUCCAAGCGUUGUCCGGAUUUAUUGGGCGUAAAGAGCUCGUAGGCGGUUGAGUAAGUCGGGUGUGAAAACUCUGGGCUUAACCCGGAGACGCCAUCCGAUACUGCUCUGACUAGAGUUCAGGAGGGGAGUGGGGAAUUCCUAGUGUAGCGGUGAAAUGCGCAGAUAUUAGGAGGAACACCGGUGGCGAAGGCGCCACUCUGGACUGAAACUGACGCUGAGGAGCGAAAGCAUGGGUAGCAAACAGGAUUAGAUACCCUGGUAGUCCAUGCCGUAAACGGUGGGCACUAGGUGUGGGUUCCAACUAACGGGAUCCGCGCCGUCGCUAACGCAUUAAGUGCCCCGCCUGGGGAGUACGGUCGCAAGACUAAAACUCAAAGGAAUUGACGG